rnacentral:rRNA from 1 species
UACAGAGGGUGCGAGCGUUAAAUCGGAAUUACUGGGCGUAAAGCGCACGUAGUCGGCUUUUGCAAGUCGGGGUGUGAAAUCCCCCGGGCUCAACCUGGGAACUGCAUCCGAGACUGCAUUGCUAGAGUAUGGGGAGAGGGAAGCGGAAUUUUCUGGGUGUAGCAGUGAAAAUGCGUAGAUAUCAGAAAGGGAAACAUCAGUGGCGAAAGGCGG